GUGCUUGCUUUAGCAGCACUUAUACUAAAAUCGGAACGAUGCAGAAAAGAUUAGUAUGGCCCUUGUACGGGGAUGACAGGAAAAUUCCUAAUGCUUUCAAUAUUUUU